rnacentral:rRNA from 1 species
AGCGAACGCUGGCGGCAGGCCAACACAUGCAAGUCGAACGAACUCUUCGGAGUUAGUGGCGGACGGGUGAGUAACACGUGGGAACGUGCCUUUAGGUUCGGAAUAACUCAGGGAAACUUGUGCUAAUACCGAAUGUGCCCUUCGGGGGAAAGAUUUAUCGCCUUUAGAGCGGCCCGCGUCUGAUUAGCUAGUUGGUGAGGUAAAGGCUCACCAAGGCGACGAUCAGUAGCUGGUCUGAGAGGAUGAUCAGCCACAUUGGGACUGAGACACGGCCCAAACUCCUACGGGAGGCAGCAGUGGGGAAUCUUGCGCAAUGGGCGAAAGCCUGACGCAGCCAUGCCGCGUGAAUGAUGAAGGUCUUAGGAUUGUAAAAUUCUUUCACCGGGGACGAUAAUGACGGUACCCGGAGAAGAAGCCCCGGCUAACUUCGUG